rnacentral:rRNA from 1 species
GCAAGUCGAGGGGCAUCGGGAUUGAAGCUUGCUUCAAUUGCCGGCGACCGGCGCACGGGUGCGUAACGCGUAUGUAACCUACCUAUAACAGGGGCAUAACACUGAGAAAUUGGUAGUAAUUCCCCAUAAUAUUCGGAGAGGCAUCUUUCCGGGUUGAAAACUCCGGUGGUUAUAGAUGGACAUGCGUUGUAUUAGAUGGUUGGUGAGGUAACGGCUCACCAAGACAAUGAUACAUAGGUGGUCUGAGAGGUUAACC